rnacentral:misc_RNA from 1 species
UGUAGCUCCCAGUGAGUACGGCCAG